CUCCCAUGACCGCCGCGUCUUGCCGUGGAGUUUCUCACGCGCUUCUUCCCUGCUGCGCUCCUCUGCUCGGUCGUCCCACCCCAGCGCCCUUGCAGCCGAGCUCCCACCUCCCAUGGUUGCCUGCUCCACUGCGCCGUCGCCCAGCUACUGACCAUCGCGCGCGCGCCGGCUAGGAGCUCGCAGGCGACGAUGGUCGCGCUCCCCGACCUUGCCUUGGCUUCCUGCUGCAGUUCGUCAGCACCUCCUUGCGCCCUGUCCAGCGUCCUGCUCGGUUCGGUUCCUUUCCGGCAACCAGCUGAAGCUCCGCCCCAUGACGUUUGGAUCCGGCCACCGUGUUCAGGCAACUGGCCGUUCGUCUUCCACUUUCUCUUCCUUCGUUGACCUGCCCGCUUGCUUUUUCUCUGCGUUCCUGUGAGCGUACGUCUCCCUGUGUGCUUACCGUGGAAGCUGGCCGCGCCCCUUCUCGGCCUCUUCUCUCCAUGGCGCUCCGCCGAGUGGCUCCCCUGCGCGUCUCUCUCUGCUCGCUCACGCACAGCUCACGGAGCUUUUCCUCGUCGGCCCCAGCUCAGUCGAGUCUCCCUGGUAUUCCAGCUCGUCGUCGCGUCAUUCGUCGUCGACCUCGCUAAAUACGUUGUCGCUUGGUCCUGUGUCGUUAGGCUAAUCAACCAUGUUCGCUGCCGCGCGCUUGUCUCUAAUACUGCUCGCGUGGUAUUUGGAUCUCGUCGAUUAGCCCCACCAUCCUUGUUUUCCUCUGGUCACGAUAAAAUCCUGUCCCACCAGGUCAUCGGGAGCUGUUCCCAGCUCACUAUGGAGUUUGCUGGGCUCGCCAUAUUUUUAAAUGUCGUCAAAUCAUCGGAGUUGCUCAACUCACCAAUCGUAUUUUGGCCAUCCCUAUCCGAACUUACCAGCUCGCCGACUGACCGUCGUGUUCCUUGAAAUCCCUUGUCGGUCGACCUCGUGACUUAGUUCGUCGUGUCGUGUGUGCAGCUCUAUAUAUGCCACUCUCCUAUAUCGUCGUCAAAGCUGUCAUCCCCUGUUCGACCCCCACCUCACCAGCUCACUCCAAACACGAUCUUGUCGUCGUUUCGUGUGUCGUCAAGAAAUCCUAAGCGUCGGGUGAAGACGAAGUUAACAGCGCGAUAUUUCCCCAAGCGCUCGACAAGUUGGUUGGAUCGGAAAAUCGCUACCGAUCUCGCGGAUUCGUGUCAGCUGUGGAAACGGUACGUUAAUUAGUCGCGUGAUGCGGAAGAUGACUCAA